rnacentral:rRNA from 1 species
UACGAAGGGUGCAAGCGUUAAUCGGAAUUAGUGGGCGUAAAGGGUGCGUAGGCGGUUGUUUUAGUCUGGCGUGAAAUCCCCGGGCUCAACCUGGGAAUGGCGAUGGAUACUGGACAGCUAGAGUGUGUCAGAGGAUGGUGGAAUUCCCGGUGUAGCGGUGAAAUGCGUAGAGAUCGGGAGGAACAUCAGUGGCGAAGGCGGCCAUCUGGGACAACACUGACGCUGAAGCACGAAAGCGUGGGGAGCAAACAGG